rnacentral:rRNA from 1 species
CACGUAGGGUGCAAGCGUUGUCCGGAUUUAUUGGGCGUAAAGGGCUCGUAGGCGGUUCGACAAGUCGGGUGUGAAACCUCCAGGCUCAACCUGGAGUCGCCACUCGAAACUGUUGUGACUAGAGUCCGGUAGGGGAGCAUGGAAUUCCUGGUGUAGCGGUGGAAUGCGCAGAUAUCAGGAGGAACACCAGUGGCGAAGGCGAUGCUCUGGGCCGGUACUGACGCUGAGGAGCGAAAGCUAGGGGAGCAAACGGG